AUGAGGUCUAUAAAAAUAAGGAAUAUAUUUAAAAUGUUAUACUGUAUGAGAAAAGCAGUGAUAUGUACAACAUGUACAGAGACAAGUGACCUCAGUAAAAAGGAGAGCGUCUGGAAAAAGGAAAAAAAAGCAAAACCCUUUCAACGUGGGAAAUGUUUAUGAUUAAAGCCUUGUAUUUAUAUCCCUACGUGCCACAUAAGGCUGCAGUCUUCAGCUUUCAAUGGAGGUAUGGGACUGAGUUAAUGUGAAACAGGACGAAAGGCAGGGAAGGCAAGCUCAAGCAGUGUACCUUGCACUUGAAGUUAAUGGAGAUAUUCUUGUUCCAAGAUUCCAGUAUGGGUGUAGUAAAGUAUGGUACUUUACAGUGUAUCAAAGUAUGGACCAAACAGCGUCUGCAUUUUGCUGAACUUCUGGAGACCCCGGGUAGGGCAUGAGGGAAUCAUAAAAACCUGGAUCCUGAUUUGAUUGAAAGUCAGCAAGCUCUCCAGAAAAACUUUGAGGGAGGGGCCCAUUCUCUAAAGCAGUGGUUUUUAGAGGCAUUAAUACAACAGUGUCCAUAUUAGCUGGGACUGGCAAUGUCCUUUGGACUUUGGCAUUAAGAGAACAAUAUAAAAUCCACUUCUGCUGAGGAUGGCAGCAUUAGCUCAGCUGUGCCACUCCGUCUGUAGCAUUCAGCAGAAGCUGUGAAUCCAGCCAUAUAACUACAAUAGAGUCUGAUCAUCAUCCUGAUGAAAUUACACUGAUCUAAUUUGCACGCUGUGAAGACAUUUGGCACUGGCAGGAUCCGAGCCUUGACAUCUUCAUUGGAACUAAAAGUAUUCUAAGAAGUGACAUUGCAUUUCCUACUCUAUUCUGCCAAACUGUGGCAUUUUCUCCUUUUUUAAAAGCAUCAUUUCAAGAACAUUUAAUUUGGCUUUGAUAUGUCUGCCAUUUUGCUAUGUAAGAAUGUACUGAGCCAGAAAAGCUCAGCUGUAAUAAAGUUUGGCACCAACAACCCACCAUAUACCUGCACCAUCCUGUGCAAUUUAAUUGGCAUUCAGUGGGUUGAUAAAUGGAUUGGCUUAAUGAGACAAUAUACUUGACAUAUGCAGGACUCUCCUGAGGAAUAAGAUUCAUUUUUGUACUUCACACAUCAACAUGCUACAGAUACCAACACAGUCACCUCCAGCAGCUGUGCUAUAGCCAGUGACAUGCCUUCCACUAUGCUGACCAAUAACAUUGCUAUCUCUCAAACACCCCACUAAGCUGGCAUCAUUCUCCAUGUGGGUCAUUUCCCUCCAUUCAUCUUUUAAUUAGUAUUUCCCCAAUCCACAAAAAAUAAACUGAGAUGUCUCAAUUCUUAAUUUAAAAGUUUCUAUAAUGGUUAUAUAUACAAAUCAUAGGCCAGAUCCUCAGUGGCUAAGAAUUAACAGCACAGCUGUGUUGACUUCAGCGGAGCUAUGCCCAUAUAUACCAGCUGAGGAUCUGGCCCCAUAUUUAGGAUGAAGCUCUAAAUAUAGUCUGCAAUUAAGGAACAGAUUGGCCCUGUGCAUUUUAAAAAUAAGGAUAAAAAUAAACUUACAAGAACUAAUAAUAUUCAGUAGAAAAUAUUCAGUAAAAAACACAGGAGACAAAAUUUGAAUUCUUUUUCUUUUUUUGUAAUGGACACUUAGUAAAUAGAAGGCA